rnacentral:misc_RNA from 1 species
UCUGUGGGGCAUUGGGCGCCCAGCAGUGCGAUUCUCGUGCCCGUGGCCGUCACACGCAUCGCGCGCUACUCUUUCAGUUCCCCACAUUUUCCGACGCGAGCGCUCACGCUUCUGUAGCGCGCCUUAUAUUUGUGUAUGAACCGACAACCAUGAAAUCGUGUUUUAUCGAGUACAACACUCGGUUAUGACGACAGACUAGUUGAAGAGGUAGUUGAAGUUGUUCGCGACAAGGCUACCGUCACUGCAGUGCCGAUGACCAGCCGGUGCGGGACGCGAGCGCACCGCGAGCAUGUCGAACGCGACCGACGCGUACUGCGUGCCUGGCGCCACCAACUUCAACAAGGCGUACAGCCGCCUGCACGGCUACAUCGCGCUGGUGAUAUGCAUCGUCGGCUCCGCCACCAACUCUAUCAACAUCGCGGUGCUCAGCCGCCGCGAGAUGACCAGCUCCACCAACUCCAUCCUCACCGGCCUCGCCGUCGCAGACCUACUAGUCAUGCUCGAAUACAUACCCUACGCACUACACAUGAACAUCAAAAUUGGACCCCAAGUUAACAAGAACACUUACGCUUGGGCGGUGUUUGUUUAUUUUCAUUCAAUAUUCAGUCAAACGUUUCAUACAAUUUCUAUUUGGUUGGCGGUGACUCUGGCUGUGUGGAGAUACGUUGCGAUCGCGUUUCCCCAGCGGAAUAGCACCUGGUGUAGCAAGAAAAACACGACUCUCGCUAUCGUGAGCGCUUAUGUGAUAUGUCCUUUUUUGUGUCUUCCUAUCUAUUUCGCGAUGAAUAUAGUGCCCAGUGAAGUGACUGCUCAAAACAAUUCAGAAUUCGCAGAGGACCUUUCCCUGCCGGACAAUCGGACCGUUUAUGUUUUAGAAAUGUCCAAAAACGUACAAUUAGUGACAGCAAUCAUGUGGAUUUAUAGUGUAAUAUUAAAACUAGUUCCGAGUAUAGCGCUGUCGAUAUUGAGUACUUGUUUAAUAUCAAAGUUGACGACAACGGAGCGAAAGAGGCAAAAACUUCUGAAGCGUUCAACAAUCGGGCCGAAUGAGCCUGAGAAACAGUGCCUAGCGACGGAGGAGGCGUGCGCGCGGCGAGCCAGUCGCACGGAUCGCACGACGCGCAUGCUCCUAGCUGUGCUAGGGCUGUUCCUAUCCACAGAGGUGCCUCAAGGUCUGCUGGGGCUGGCCAGCGCCCUCGCUCCAGACUUCUUUCAGAGCUGUUAUAGCAUGUUCGGUGACCUGAUGGAUGUGCUAGCACUGUUCACGUCAUCAGUGAACUUCGUCCUCUACUGCAGCAUGAGUCGGCAGUUCCGCUGCACCUUCGCUCGGCUGGCCAGACGCAUGCUGUCAGCCGCCGAGGAGCCAGCCAAACUAGCUAAUAAGUUAGAACCGACCACGCAGGUCACCGGGCCGCUAUAGCGCCAAAUUCCCACCCUCAUAAGGGUGGUAGAAGAGAGUAUUAUAUAAAUAACGAUACAGGUACAAUUGCUCUCUACAACUUCGACAGCGUAAUUCACAAGCCUAAGUAGCAUUUAUUUUAUAGGUAGCUAUCAUAAGAAUUCUAAUAAUUACCAUUUUAAGCCGUAGUCACACGUUACUAGAUAAUAAUUGUGUAAAUAUUUUAAGCCAAAGCUAGGAAUAACAUUGUAAUUUGUAUCUUAAUUAAAUAGAUUUGUAACUUAGUUUUUGUGUCUUAUGAGCCGUGACACAAAAACUAACUUCUUCAAACUGUUACAAUUUAAACUGUAAAUAUUUUUACAACGUUAUUUUUUAAUUAUUAAAACUGUUGUAGAACGGAUUAAUGUAGUUUUACUUAGGGUCCAAUGAUAUGCAUAAUUUUUAAACAUUAAAUGUAAAUACUUUAUUACUUUUGUGAACAUUUGCAUUUAUAUCGAAUUUCUCUGAUAGACAAUUAUGUUGUUUGUGAAUAUUGUAACGAAUUUAUAUUAUAAUUGUCAAAUACAAUUGCAUUUUUUUAUAAAUAAUGUAAAAAAUUAAGGUGUUUCUUUCGAUGUAUGCUGAUCUGCUCUUAUCGAACAUUUUAGUGUAAUGUACCUAACAGCUUAGUCACCAAAGCAUGUACCAAAGUUGAAUGUAAAAGGUAAAACCUACGUGUUCAUUGUGCGCACCAUUAUUAUCAUAUUAAACCGAUUAAUUUUCUA